CCUACGGGAGGCAGCAGUGAGGAAUAUUGGUCAAUGGGCUUACGCCUGAACCAGCCAAGUCGCGUGAGGGAAGACUGCCCUAUGGGUUGUAAACCUCUUUUGUCAGGGAGCAACGCCGGCUACGUGUAGCCGGACUGAGAGUACCUGAAGAAAAAGCAUCGGCUAACUCCGUGCCAGCAGCCGCGGUAAUACGGAGGAUGCGAGCGUUAUCCGGAUUUAUUGGGUUUAAAGGGUGCGUAGGCGGAAUGCCAAGUCAGCGGGAAAAUCGCGGGGCCCAACCUCGCUCCGCCUGUGAAACUGGGGUUCUUGAGUGGGCGAGAAGUAAGCGGAAUGCGUGGUGUAGCGGUGAAAUGCAUAGAGAUCACGCAGAACACCGAUGGCGAAGGCAGCAGACCGGCGCCCAACUGACGCUGAAGCACGAAAGCGUGGGUAUCGAACAGGAUUAGAUACACGAGUAGUC
rnacentral:rRNA from 1 species